rnacentral:lncRNA from 1 species
GUUCCCUUGGCUUUAUAAAGUGAGCCCUCUAAGCAAAGCCAGCAUCUGUCUCUUAGUCAGACUGCAAGAAAAACUUCACAAGCAGCAUUCUGGUUUGCUUUAUUCAGCAGCUCCCAAAAAUGGCUCAGUAUGAUGGUGACACAUACAAAAAAGACUCGUACAAGCUGUAUGAAGCUGUCGCUCAGGUUGCCAGUGACUCUCAUGUCCCAAACAUCGCCUACUGCACUGUGGCUGUGGUGGCUGCUCUUGGCAAGUUGAACCUGGUCAGGUGGGAUGUGAAAUCCACAAGGUGUAAAGAAAUGGGAAAUAAAGCCAACCGUUUUGACUUUGCCUUCAAAACGGCUAUCAAAGACAGCAAGGUGGACAUCAAAAAGGCAGAAUUCCAGUGUUACAAUGAGAAUUUCCAACCAUCAAGUGGUUACAAGAAUCUACUGAAGCAGCAGAAUAUUGACCUCAUACCUUUGAAGUUUGAUGACCUAGUGAAGACAGCAGAGCUUAUAAAUAUAAUGGUGAAAGAGAGG